rnacentral:rRNA from 1 species
GAUGAACGCUGGCGGCGUGCCUAAUACAUGCAAGUCGAGCGAACAGACGAGGAGCUUGCUCCUCUGACGUUAGCGGCGGACGGGUGAGUAACACGUGGAUAACCUACCUAUAAGACUGGGAUAACUUCGGGAAACCGGAGCUAAUACCGGAUAAUAUAUUGAACCGCAUGGUUCAAUAGUGAAAGACGGUUUUGCUGUCACUUAUAGAUGGAUCCGCGCCGGAUUAGCUAGUUGGUAAGGUAACGGCUUACCAAGGCAACGAUGCGUAGCCGACCUGAGAGGGUGAUCGGCCACACUGGAACUGAGACACGGUCCAGACUCCUACGGGAGGCAGCAGUAGGGAAUCUUCCGCAAUGGGCGAAAGCCUGACGGAGCAACGCCGCGUGAGUGAUGAAGGUCUUCGGAUCGUAAAACUCUGUUAUUAGGGAAGAACAAAUGUGUAAGUAACUAUGCACGUCUUGACGGUACCUAAUCGGAAAGCCACGGCUAACUACGUG